GACGAACGCUGGCGGCGUGCUUAACACAUGCAAGUCGAACGGAAAGGCUCUGCUUUUGUGGGGUGCUCGAGUGGCGAACGGGUGAGUAACACGUGAGUAACCUGCCCUUGACUUUGGGAUAACUUCAGGAAACUGGGGCUAAUACCGGAUAGGAGCUCCUGCUGCAUGGUGGGGGUUGGAAAGUUUCGGCGGUUGGGGAUGGACUCGCGGCUUAUCAGCUUGUUGGUGGGGUAGUGGCUUACCAAGGCUUUGACGGGUAGCCGGCCUGAGAGGGUGGCCGGCCACAAUGGGACUGAGAUACGGCCCAGACUCCUACGGGAGGCAGCAGUGGGGAAUGUUGCACAAUGGGCGGAAGCCUGAUGCAGCAACGCCGCGUGCGGGAUGACGGCCUUCGGGUUGUAAACCGCUUUCGCCUGUGACGAAGCGUGAGUGACAGUAAUGGGUAAAGAAGCACCGGCUAACUACGU
rnacentral:rRNA from 1 species